rnacentral:rRNA from 1 species
CCUACGGGUGGCAGCAGUGAGGCAUAUUGGUCAAUGGACGAGAGUCUGAACCAGCCAAGUAGCGUGAAGGAUGACUGCCCUAUGGGUUGUAAACUUCUUUUAUAUGGGAAUAAAAUGUUCCACGUUGGGGAUUUUGUAUGUACCAUAUGAAUAAGGAUCGGCUAACUCCGUGCCAGCAGCCGCGGUAAUACGGAGGAUCCGAGCGUUAUCCGGAUUUAUUGGGUUUAAGGGGAGCAUAGGUGGAUUGUUAAGUCAGUUGUGAAAGUUUGCGGCUCAACCGUAAAAUUGCAGUUGAAACUGGCAGUCCUGAGUACAGUAGAGGUGAGCUGAAUUCGUGGUGUAGCGGUGAAAUGCUUAGAUAUCACGAAGAACUCCGAGUGCGAAGGCAGCUCACUGGACUGCAACUGACACUGAGGCUCGAAAGUGGGGGUAUCAAACAGGAUUAGAGACGCUGGUAGUC